CCUUGUUCUUGGACUUCCUAGCCUUCAGAACUACUGUUUGACCUCUGGUAACUAAAACUGCAGAAGGCAAAACUGGAUAAGGAGACUACUGUAAUGAUUAUGCUAUUACAAGAUGCUCGAUUGCUAACAUCAGACAUUUUUAUAAUAGACACUUUCAUUGUGAGGCUACUGGGUCUGUGAUGCAUUUGAGUAAAAGGAAAGAAAGGAGAUUUGGUGGGUGAAGCACAUCUGUGAUACACACAGCAGAGCGUGCCCCUGCCAAGAGCAUCAAGCAUUGGGUGGAGCCGAGAGCUACGUUCAGACUCAAACCCCGUUGUGAUGAUCACUGCCAGAAUCCUGCUAGGACAUCUCUGCCUGUGGAAGGAGGGCUGGAUGGCAUACUGGGAAUGGCUUUCUAGGAUGACUUCGUGUUGCUACAGACUACACGCAGCAUUUCUGGCCUUGAUGUUGUCUGAAUGAAGAAGGCCUAGGAGUUUCACCAAAGCCUACAGGAAUGAGGAAGCAGGAAGGGCCAGAGUGAAGUGGAAACUUUGAACUUGAAGUUGGAAGACAUUGGUACUCAUCUCUUCUAUUUGCUAGCUGUAUGAUCUUGGGCAACUUAUUUAAUUUAUCUUCCUCCAGUUUACUCAUUGAUUAAAUGAAGUAAUGAAAGCUGGCUGAGCAAAAAC
rnacentral:lncRNA from 1 species